rnacentral:rRNA from 1 species
UACGAAGGUCCCAAGCGUUAUCCGGAUUUAUUGGGUUUAAAGGGUGCGUAGGCGGACUAUUAAGUCAGUGGUGAAAGCCCCAGCUUAACUUGGGAACUGCCAUUGAUACUGAUGGUCUUGAGUACAUUUGAGGUGGGCGGAAUGUGUCAUGUAGCGGUGAAAUGCUUAGAUAUGACACAGAACACCGAUUGCGAAGGCAGCUCACUAAACUGUAAACUGACGCUGAGGCACGAAAGCGUGGGGGAGCAAACAGG